GCUAUUUAGGUUAGAGUUUGAUCCUGGCUCAGGACGAACGCUGGCGGCGUGCUUAACACAUGCAAGUGGAGCGACGAAGCAGACUUCGGUCUGUGGCAGAGCCGCGAACGGGUGAGUAACACGUGGGUAACGUGCCCCAAUCACCGGGACAACCCGAGGAAACUCGAGCUAAUACCGGAUGUGGUCCUCUCACAUCAGUGAGUUGACUAAAGGUAGCUUCGGCUUCCGGAUUGGGAUCGGCUCGCGGCGGAUUAGCUUGUUGGCGGGGUAAUGGCCCACCAAGGCGACGAUCCGUAGCUGGUCUGAGAGGACGAUCAGCCACACUGGGACUGAGACACGGCCCAGACUCCUACGGGAGGCAGCAGUGGGGAAUCUUGCGCAAUGGGCGAAAGCCUGACGCAGCGACGCCGCGUGAGGGAAGAAGGCCUUCGGGUUGUAAACCUCUUUCAGGAGGGACGAAGCCACUCGGGUUAAUAGCCCAGAGGGUGACGGUACCUCCAGAAGAAGCCCCGGCUAACUACGUGCCAGCAGCCGCGGUACGCC
rnacentral:rRNA from 1 species